CAGCAGCACAUCACAACCCAAACAAUGACAUCAAAUCCAAGACAUAACACUGUAAUCACAGAAGUGGUAUGUAACAGAAAGAAAAGAAAAGAAAAGAAAAAGGUGGUUCAACAUAAGUAAUGUCUUCUUUCAAAAAAAGAAAUGAAAACAAGACAGACUGCGUUAACAUGUCCCCAGUCAAAAGAUAUGCUGAGAUCUAACAGAUGAAAGAAGAACCAGAGAAACUCCAUUUUGAAGUAAAGGUUGCUUAUUGAUUCUAUGGAUAAGAGAGGAAUUUUUAAAAACUAUUAUGUCUUCACUCAGAGGAAAACUCAGGUUGCUGAAAUAUGGCCCAGUUCCAGCUACUGAUCAUGCAUAUUCCCGAGACAACUUCAUAGAGCAUGCUCUUCACUGGGUGAAAAUCACCCCAUUAAGAAAGAAAGAAUUUUCUUGGUAUUUUCUUGAAGCCAUUGACUAUGAAAGCACAGCCCUUCCAGUUUUUUAGAAGUUUUAAUCAUACAUCAAGCUCUUAUUAGUAACAAAGAAAACAAAGAAGAAACCUAGCUCUCAUUUUCAGGAAGGAUGCUUUCAGAUGGUCAACAUAAAACCACCAAGGGAGGGGCCGCAAUGCCAGUACCCUGUGUUAAACCUGCAGCAGCAGGAAAGGCUGUCAGGACCUGUGAGAGAAAGCCGGGGAAGCAGAACCCUUUGAUGGAGACAACAGAGUCAGGACAAUAUUGUUUAAAACUCCUAAAUCCAAACAUGCCUGAAGCUAUAAGUUACUUCUGAAAUUUAAAAAUUUUCCAGUGAUUCAAGUUUGACACACCACACCACGGUGGAUGUGCCUUGUCAUGACACAUCUCAGCAGCACUAGAAGAUACAUCCAAAGUCCUGUGAGCAAGGUCUGUGGUAUCUGUUUAUUAUGGCAGCCCAGUAAGACUAAGACAGGCCAUCACAAGACGUGAACGUUUUGGACCUUCUCUUGGGCCCUAGUAAACAGAAAUCAGGCUAUUUAUUAAACUAAUCCACGUUCUGAACAGUUAUUGCUACUGGAAACCAGUCCCGAUCCAGACCACAAAAGACGAUUCUUGGAUCUUGCACAAGAAAGAAAGGGAAGAUCUGGCAAGAGUUAGCGUGCAGUUCUACAUUGUGACAAUUCAUGAGAGCUAAGGACUGGCUGUCUCUUGGGACAAAUAGGCUUUCUUGAGUCUGCAUGAGGCCCUCACCAGAUACAGCCACCUGAUCUUGGACUUCACAGCCUCCAGAAAUCUUUGCUUCCACUUCUAAGUGAGAACAUACAGUGUUUGGUUUUUCAUUCCUGAGUUACUUCACCUAGAACAAUGGCCUCCAGCUCCAUCCAAGUUGCUGCAGAAGACAUUUCAUUCCUUUUAUGGCUGAGUAGUAUUCCAUGUCCAGUGAUUCAAGUUUGACACACCACACCACGGUGGAUGUGCCUUGUCAUGACACAUCUUCUCAGCAGCACUAGAAGAUACAUCCAAAGUCCUGUGAGCAAGGACACAGCGAGAAGAUGGCUGUCUACAAGCCAGGAAGAGAGUCCUCACCAGAACCAAACCCUGCUGGACUUUGAUCUUGGACUUCCCAGCCUCUAAAACUGUGAAGACAUAAAUUUCUGUUGUUAAACCCACACAGGUCUGUGGUAUCUGUUUAUUAUGGCAGCCCAGUAAGACUAAGACAGGCCAUCACAAGACAUGAAUGUUUUGGACCUUCUCUUGGGCCCUAGUAAACAGAAAUCAGGUACGCAAAAGGGGUAAGCAUAUAAUUUCCUUUAUUUUUAUUUUUAAUGUGUAAGCCUUAGGUUUUUAUUUAUUUAUUUGGUGAAGACAAUCACAUUGUGUACGUACAAUGUAAUUAUAUUGUUGACGAGAAGUUACUUAAAAUUUUUUAAAAAUUCUAAUCGAUUUCUAGAUGUCCAAAUGAGAAGAUAGCAUUUAUAUACCAUCAGAACAUAAAAUAAUUCAAAAAAAUAAAUUUAUAAAACAAUAUGUAUUAUAUUGAGAGAAAGAGAGGGAGAGAGUAUUGGAAGAAUAUAUGCAAAUACAAUGUGAUAAUGUGAUGUCUUUGUGAGAAUGCUAUAUGUCAUUUUCUUUGUUUAUAUGAAUUUUUACAAUUUUUACCUUUGAAAUAUAAAAAAGAGAGAAUAAAAGUCAUUGAAAAAAUCAAAAGUAACUAUUUUCAUAGGUGAGUAAGUAUACAUCUUUAACAGAAC
rnacentral:lncRNA from 1 species